rnacentral:lncRNA from 1 species
CUCCGUGUCAUUAGUGCACCUGAUUUACUGCAGUCCCUGCUUCAACUCAGGCCACAACUGGGUUGGUUAGAAACGAACAGCUUUCAAACCUGGGCUACCCAGGCAAUGUCCCUGAAAAAAUGUCAUACAUAGAGAGCUGCUUCUCCUGGACCUGGUCUCCACAAUGAGGAUGACUGGGUGGCUGGUCAAGAAUGAAAUUCACACCAGGGCGAGAUUCAGAAUCACAAGAGGGCUGGCAACGUGUCUGUCUGUCCACUGAGUGCUUGUUUCCCUUGUGAGAUGUGAGUACAUUCCACAGCAAGCAUGGGAAAGAAGCAGCAGGCCUGCUGAGGCUUGCUACCAAGCACUUGGACAUAGUAACAAAGGGCUGCCUGGCAAGGAGCCGCAGCACUAGGAGCAGAGAGAAGAUGCACACAGUCGCUAGCAGCCAGGACCCAGACACCAGGACCAUGGCAAGUGGCAACCCAAGAAAGAGCAGAAUGGUUCGGGGCAGCGUCAGCACGUGGCCGAAGGUGGCGGGAAUGUGCUCCUCCAUGCCCCUUGUGAUCAAAUCCAGUACCUUUUGUGGUCGCUGUCCUGGUACUGGCGGAUGUGAUAAGGAGCCAUGGGAGACUGCUGGGUGUCAAGUCUCGGCAUCUGGGAGAGAUGGCUCUACCUGCCUGCACACCUUCCCUGAGCCCUGCAGAAGAGAAAAGCAUUUACAGGCUCUAUGGUCUUCAGUACUGAGAUGGCACUUUUGUGCAGGAAGAUGUGAUGUCCUGAGAACUGUGUUUCCUAUUCGAGAUCCCUAC